rnacentral:rRNA from 1 species
CUCUUUCAGCAGGGACGAAGCGGAAGUGACGGUACCUGCAGAAGAAGCGCCGGCCAACUACGUGCCAGCAGCCGCGGUAAGACGUAGGGCGCGAGCGUUGUCCGGAAUUAUUGGGCGUAAAGGGCUUGUAGGCGGUCCGUCGCGUCAGGAGUGAAAACUCAGGGCUUAACCCUGAGCCUGCUUUUGAUACGGGCGGACUAGAGGGAUGCAGGGGAGAACGGAAUUCCUGGUGGAGCGGUGGAAUGCGCAGAUAUCAGGAGGAACACCGGUGGCGAAGGCGGUUCUCUGGGCAUUACCUGACGCUGAGGAGCGAAAGUGUGGGGAGCGAACAGGAUUAGAUACCCUGGUAGUCCACACCGUAAACGUUGGGCGCUAGGUGUGGGACUCAUUCCACGAGUUCCGUGCCGCAGCUAACGCAUUAAGCGCCCCGCCUGGGGAGUACGGCCGCAAGGCUAAAACUCAAAGGAAUUGACGGGGGCCCGCACAAGCGGCGGAGCAUGCGGAUUAAUUCGAUGCAACGCGAAGAACCUUACCUGGGUUUGACAUAUAGAGAAAUCCUCCAGAGAUGGGGGGUCCGUAAGGGCUCUAUACAGGUGGUGCAUGGCUGUCGUCAGCUCGUG